rnacentral:rRNA from 1 species
GGCUUAGAGUUUGAUCAUGGCUCAGGAUGAACGCUGGCGGCGUGCUUAACACAUGCAAGUCGAGCGAAGCGAUUUAGCGGAAGUUUUCGGAUGGAAGUUAGAUUGACUGAGCGGCGGACGGGUGAGUAACGCGUGGGUAACCUGCCUCAUACAGGGGGAUAACAGUUAGAAAUGACUGCUAAUACCGCAUAAGCGCACGGGGACGCAUGUUCUUGUGUGAAAAGCCGAGACGGUAUGAGAUGGACCCGCGUCUGAUUAGCUAGUUGGUGAGGUAACGGCCCACCAAGGCGACGAUCAGUAGCCGACCUGAGAGGGUGACCGGCCACAUUGGGACUGAGACACGGCCCAAACUCCUACGGGAGGCAGCAGUGGGGAAUAUUGCACAAUGGGGGAAACCCUGAUGCAGCGACGCCGCGUGAGUGAAGAAGUAUUUCGGUAUGUAAAGCUCUAUCAGCAGGGAAGAGAAUGACGGUACCUGACUAAGAAGCCCCGGCUAACUACGUGCCAGCAGCCGCGGUAAUACGUAGGGGGCAAGCGUUAUCCGGAUUUACUGGGUGUAAAGGGAGCGUAGACGGCUGGACAAGUCUGAAGUGAAAGCCCAGGGCUCAACCCUGGGACUGCUUUGGGAACUGCCCGGCUAGAGUGCUGGAGAGGUAAGUG